UACAGAGGGUGCAAGCGUUAAUCGGAAUUACUGGGCGUAAAGCGUGCGCAGGCGGUUCGUUGUGUCGGCGGUGAAAGCCCCGGGCUCAACCUGGGAAUGGCCGUUGAAACUGGCGAACUGGAGUGUGGCAGAGGGGGGUGGAAUUCCGCGUGUAGCAGUGAAAUGCGUAGAGAUGCGGAGGAACACCGAUGGCGAAGGCAGCCCCCUGGGCUAACACUGACGCCUCAGGCACGAAAGCGUGGGGGAGCAAACAGG
rnacentral:rRNA from 1 species